rnacentral:snoRNA from 1 species
GUUUACUUGAAUCAGCAACAGAAUUAAAUUUUUAAUAAUUCUGUAACUGCUGAAUGAUGGA